rnacentral:rRNA from 1 species
UACAGAGGGGGCGAGCGUUGUUCGGAAUUACUGGGCGUAAAGGGCGCGUAGGCGGCCUUCUAAGUCGAACGUGAAAUCCCCGGGCUCAACCCGGGAACUGCGUCCGAUACUGGGAGGCUUGAAUCCGGGAGAGGGAAGCGGAAUUUCCGGUGUAGCGGUGAAAUGCGUAGAUAUCGGAAGGAACACCAGUGGCGAAGGCGGCUUCCUGGACUAAUACUGACGCUGAGGUGCGAAAGCGUGGGGAGCAAACAGG